GCUAAGCCCUGAACAUUGAAAGCCACCAUACCAUGCUUUCCACCAGAGAAUUACGAGCAACAAGCUUAAAACUCAAAGGACUUGACGGUGUCCCACAUCGACCUAGAGGAGCCUGUCCUAUAAUCGAUACCCCCCGUUCCACCCAACCCCUACUAGCAAUAAUCAGCCUAUAUACCGCCGUCGACAGUCUACCCCAUGAGGGUCCAUUAGUAGAUAUAAUAGUUAAUAACUAAUACGUCAGGUCAAGGUGUAGCAAAUGUAGGGGAAGAGAUUGGCUACAUUUUUUAUCUUAAAACACACGGAAUGCACUAUGAAAUACCGCAUAAAGGCGAAUUUAGCAGUAAAAUA
rnacentral:rRNA from 1 species